GGGGAAUACAGGGGAAUGCAGGAAUGCGGGUACCGGCAAACGAGACCAAAUACUCAGUGUGAAGCAGGCAGUAUGAAUCAUAGCACGGCUCCCUGGGGUGCUAACAGUGAUGAUGAGGAUGAACUUGACGCUCGGGAACCAUGGAUGUGGGCUGGGAAAAGGGCCUUUAUUUUCCUCAUUGACGCCACUGAACCUAUGUUUGAAAAAGAUAUCAAUGACUCUUCACACUUUGAGAAGUGCAUAAAGGCCUGCACAGAGAAUCUGUUGAAGAGUGUGCAUCGCCAGGAUAAAGAUUUAUUUGAAAUAGUGCUCUUUGGCACAAGUCAUGUUGGGCAAACUGCACAACCAAAUCACAUCACAACCUUGCUUCAAAGUCUUGAUCAGUGUAAUGCUGACAGAAUCAAAGACCUCUUGGCCAUUCUUGAUGACAUUGAUGGAUUUGAGAAGAAACAUGGUCACUCAAAUGAUUACUCCUUAGCUGAAGCUUUCUGGCAUUGCCUUAAAAUCAUCACAAAUUGUACAACCACUAUUUACGACAAAACCAUCUUCUUAAUGACUUGCAAUGAUAAUCCACAUCAUUCAAACCCAAAGCUACAAAAUGAUACUCGACUCCGAGUCAGAGAAAUAAAAAAUCUUGAUGUUGACUUAAAGAUUAUACCGUUUGGGCUUUCCUUUGAUAUGGACUUGUUUUACAAUGAAAUCUACCAAAUAACCCACAACGACCCAAAUGAUGAUAAUACAGAAGACACAAUCAUCAAAUCAGUCAUUGAAGUGGAGGAUAUUCUGGAAUUUGUUGAGUGCCCACCUAAGAAACGGAGUACUUCAAGAGUCCUAUGGUCGUUGGGAGGAGAUGUCCAAUUAGGAGUUGCUGCAUACCGCUUUGUAAAGAGCACUGACCCUAUACCAAGAAAAGUGAAAAUAGAGAGAUCAAAGAAUGCCAUUGUUACAUCGCGAGUUCAAGCUUUUAAUGCGGAAACAGGAGAGGAAGUUUCUAGUGCUCAGACUUCCAAAGCCAUGAAUGUUGGUGGGGAGACUGUAACAUUUAGAAAAGAAGAGUUGAAAACAUUGGUUGAGAUUUCACAUCCUGGUCUUAUUCUACUUGGAUUCAAACCAAUGUACACAAUUAAAACUUGGUUUCACUCUAAGAGUCCUGUAUUUUUGUAUCCUGAAGAGCGCUUAGUGAAAGGAAGCCGCACUUUAUUUGCGGCUUUGCAUGAAAAAUGUUUAGCUAAGAAACUGGUAGCCAUAUGUUACUUCACAAUGCGUAGGUCUGGCAAACCAACUCUUGUUGCCCUUGUGCCUCUAGCGGAAAAAGUUGAAGACAAAAACACUCAAUAUGUGCCUCCUGGAUUUGUUGCAAGGUUCCUACCUUAUGCUGAUAACAUUAGAGACCUUAAGGACCAAGCAGUAAAGUGCCCUCAUCCUGAUCCUGAGUUGGUUUCAGUGGCUGAACAAAUUGUAAAGAAAUUAAAAUUUAAAUAUCAGCCCAAAUCUUUUGACAAUCCAAGACUUCAGAAACUUUGGGCAGGCAUUGAAGCAUUAGCUCUUGGAUAUGAUGAGCCCAAAGAAACCGAGGAUCUUACUUUACCUAAUAAUGAGGUUAUGGAUAAAAGGAUUGACUCUUUGUCAGACGAUUUCAUGAGCAUGGCAUUUCCGCAAGGUUAUAAUUACAAUGCAGUAAAAAAAACUUCAAAAGACACUGAUCCAUCAAAGCCUUCAGCUCCGAAAAAGGCAAAGAUAGAUUUGGAAAGUAUGGACAUGGAAGAAAUAGCUAAGAAAGGAUUUGUGGAAAAACUAACUGCCGAUAAACUUAAACAGUAUUUAAUGACGAAUGGUUAUAAAGUUUCUAAAAUGAGGAAGGCAGAACUUGUUGAAGCUGUCUACAGUCAUCUUGAGGUCGAUCAACCAUGAUAAAACAACAACUAACACGUUGAGUCCCACGUGACCACACGUAUGGUCACAAAGGCUGUGAUUAAUGACCCCCUGGGACUCAACGUCUCAAUAGGGGAGAAUGACAUCUGAAUUAGCAUUACUGCUUCUCACAUAUCUCAGGAAAACAGCAACAUGAAAAUUUAAUACUGCUAUCUGAAUAAUCAUACAUUUGACAUUAUUGCUGUGUGGUCCAAGGGAAAUCCCAUUAAAUGUAAUGAUAACAGAUGAAGUAUCAACUUAGUCAUUAAUUAAUGUUAAGAAGGUAGAUGAAGUACAGCUCAUACUUAUAGUCUAUUUUUUUGUAAUAUGGGCACAGUCACACGUUUGAAGACUACUCUGAAUCCUUUGUUAUAUUGCUGUGUUGAGUUACAAUUUUGAAUGAUCUUUGUUAUAAAAAAUGAUUCUAAGUAUACAGAAAGAAUAAUAGCACUUCCAUCUGUGAAGCACUAUUUUUGUUAGCUAUUAAUGCGAUGCGAUGACACAUCAUGUAUCAAUUGAAUUUUUACUUGCAUUAUUAAUCAGGUUUGUUUCUUUUGUUUACAUCAUGUGGAAACAUAUCUUGUGGAUACUCAUAAUCUUACAAAAGGAAGCAUUCUCUAGAUUCAGAUAUCCUACAAGUUUUCACUUAUUGAAAUAAGUUGUGACAUACCACAUUGAGUAAAAAAAUGUCAUUCCAUAUUAUUCACAUUCUAGUCCUGGAUGAAGACAGCUCCCACUGAAGGCAAGUAAAUACAUGAACAUACAAGUACACUAACAUGAUUGAUUUGUUUGGAUUUUUUUUUACGUCUCUUAUCUGACACACAUGUUGUUCCAAUUGUGUGUUACAGUUCUUUAUGAUGUGUUGAAGAACAUUUCAAACAAUCAUUCUCUCUGCCAAACAAUGUGUGUUGAAGAAGACUGCACAUCAAUUUAAAUGAGGUAUAGUUUUCUAUCUUCCACCUUUUUGAAACAAGUUUGCCAUCAUCAGUUAGUGAUAUCUGAAUCAUCAUUUAAUUAGGAAAAUCUUUUAAACAAAUUUGUUAUGGCCAGAAAUUUUACUUGUUUCAUUGACACCAAAUUGCCUCAAGGUGUAGUCUACCUCGAUUAUGAGUUGAACUCUGUCCUGUGCAUGCUUCUUAAUCAUUUAAUCUAUUGCAGUCUGGAGUGUUAUCUGGAUUAUUGUACUAAUUUGUUUCAAAAUGAGACUCUUGCCUGAUUAUCAUGGUUGUGUCUCCAUCAUAUGUAUGUGUAUGUUUUGCACAUGACAAUGAGGGAAUUUAUUGUGUGCCUUAUUAUUAGACAGAUGAAGACGGAUGCUUAUUUCUUACAUUUGUGAAUGAAUUAUACAUAUUCAAAAGAGUAUGUCAGCAAAGAGCAUGACCUUUCAUCACAGUAUCCAUUCAAAGUGGCUUCUAUAAUUGACAUGUGGAAAAGAUUGACAACAGGCCACAUGGAAGGGGACAACAAGCUCUUCUUCUCCAGUAAUCCAUGUUUAUAAAUUACAUGCUAUUACCAGGAUCCACUUCAUUGUCAACCCCAGGAGUAUAACCACAUUAAUGUGGCGCAAUAAGGGGACAAUGUGGAGAAGAAAAACUGUUUUUAAAUGAGACAAAACAUGUGAUUUACCACACUUUGAUUUUUUGUUUUGUCUCAUUUUGAUGUCUGAAGGGGUUCAUUGAGUUUUCGAUCCUUUUUCAUAGCCAACUCAACUACCAUACUGAAUGGCAGAAGAGUUGGCUAAGUCCAACAAUUCUUAGCAUGCACCUACUGGGAGCAUUUUCCCCCCCUAAAAAUCAUGUUUUAUCUAGAGCUAUUUCAAGCCAGUUACAUUAGUGCAAUCAGCAUGGUUUAUUAAUGAUACAGUGGUUAGGAGCUAACUCAACUGAUUAGAUUGAUAAUUUUAUGACUGAAAGAAAUCAUAAUAUAGACCAGACCAUAACUACAGAUUUUAGAUUGAGUAUCUACAGGCUGAGAUCGGCAGAUGCCACAACUCUCCUACUAUCACAAUUGCUUUUUCUAUAGAAAAUCUACAACAUGCUGGUUCUGCCAUACAAAGUGACAUGGUUGUAGUGUACGUAGCCUAGGGAUGGAAUCAUCUAACAACCUUAUGUCACCCUGAUUCUUCCGAGGAGCGUAGCUGUAAGCUGGAAAGUUAACUUUUGCUGUUUCCGUAUGACCUGGAAAGUCAACAACCAACUAUAGUAAAUGCAUGCCUCUAUAAGCUUUACUCAGUGAAGCCUCUGACGGUGGAGUGCUUAACUUUUUCUCCCAUGCUCCGCAACGGCUUUUUCUCUACAUUAAAAGGAAAAAUUGAGCCAAUAGCACAUAUUAACUUGAUCACAAUGUCAAGCAUUUAGUCAAGCCACUUUACUCCAUGUAUUUCGGGCUGUGCAUGACGCUUUUGUGCCCUACUAUGUGAUUCAUGCGUGCAGCUAGCUUUAGAAGACAUUGCAAGCAACAUUGUAAGGCCAUAAUGUAAUUUCCAGAUUCCACCAUUAGAGAUUGAGAAAGGACAGAAAGUUGCUUAUUUGUAUCAUACUCAUUGCAAAUAUUGUCUUUGAAAUGCCUAUCCAUCUUGUUUUAUCCCUCCCAAAAUUUCAAUAAUUUCCAAAAGUUUAA